GAUGACCCCUCCAAAACGUCCUCGACUGAGAAUAGCUUGGGCAACACAGCCACAUCCAAGGACCUGGAAUGAGAGGAAAACUCAACAGAUGCUGAAAUGGCUUUUCUUAGGAGGAUAAUCAAUGCUGUGUGCUGCAGGAAAUAGGAGGAGUGAUGAGCAAUGUGGGGACUUCAGUUACCCUCAUCAGAAUCGCCACUCAGAAGAUUGGAGCCCAGAUUUCCAGCAUUACAUCUUAAUUUAGAAAUGUUUUAUUGUAGCCUGAAAAGCAACGAGGAAGCCAGGGCCCAACAGUGCCAAGGCCGCCUCUUGUCACUCUCAACCUGGGAGAUCUCUGCAUAUGGAGGAGUUCUGAGGACUGAUGUGUUUCCAGGGUCUGCAAAUCUCAAAGUAUGUUUCACAGAUCAUUAGUUCCAUUAGAUGCUCCUCAAAAAAGGGGUUUGUGGUUAAGUAGAGCUGAAGACAGCUUUACAUUCUGUUCCCCUCUUAGAGAUUUACAGAGAACAUUAAAGGCUCUGAUAAUUCCUGCAGUUGAGAAAACUGCUUAUUUUGGUUUAACCCAGUGUUUCCCAAACAUAUUUGGGAAGGACCACAUGUAUUUUUUUCACUUAAUUCUUGUUUGCAUCUUUUGGAACUAGUGUUUUUCAGAACAGAUUUUGAGCAACUCCCUACAAAAAUGCUUUGAAAAGACAUACUCUACUGGGUGAGCUCUCUCAUGGGGAGGAAGGGGGUGAAGAAAAUACAUAUGAAUAUGUACAAGUUUUUAAAUUUCAAAAGGGUAUACUAUAAAAUAUAAGAAAUGUGUUUCCUUCCAACCCCAGAUUUUAAAUAUUAUUCUCCACAGGUAACUAAUAUCAAUACUUCCUGGUAUGUUGUCAAAAAGUGUGCAUGUGCCUCUGUGUGUGUGCAUGUAUAUGUGUGUGUGUGUGUGUGCAUGUGUUUAUACAGGUGAGGGUAUUUAACACAUACCAUUUCUGCCUGCUUUUUCUACUUGAAUAGCUUAGAGUAUUUUUGUAUUAGCAUGUAAACCUUCUAUUUAAUGGGUAAAUAGGAGUCUUGCAUAGAUGCACCCCCAUUUUUUUAACCAAUCACCUGUUGAUAGAAGCAUAGGGUUUUCGGGAGGUACUCUCAUAAGAAAGCUUGAAUUUCCAGAAAGACUCUAAGGCAUGUGCGCUGAGAGGGACUAAGCCUUCAAGUCGUUUAUGGUCUUGACUGACUGUUCUAGGCUCACAUCUUAGCAUGACCAGCCAAGCUACUGAGAUGGAGAAAAGGGCAAGGGGCAGGGCCGGCACACUUUGCUGGCAUAGUUUCUCUUAAAUCACUUGCUUUGCUUAGAAGUUUCAGUGAACUCAGCAAUCCUGCCCCAGACAUGAAAUUAGAUGCCUGCUGGAGGUAUAAUGGGCACCUAAUUUCUUCACGGUUGAACUGCUUCAGCCAUUUGAACCAUCUGUGGGUUGUUAGGUCACUUUCACAGGGCUGAUGAGUAAAUAAGGGCCAACUUCUGCUCUCAUUAGUAUGUUUUCCUUUCUCGUCAAGUAAUGAGAACAUGUUGCAAUGGGAUUCGUCACUAAAGAAAAACUGACGAAACCCACUUCUGGAAAGUAGAAAAAAAAAAUACUUCCCCUUUGAAAGUCAAUGAAAACAGUGAGUUUUCUGGGUAAAAUUAAAAUUCACAAUCAGAAGCAGAAUCCUGUUUGGCAGAAUCAAGUUUGGCUCCAGGAGUCUGCAGCCCUUAGAUCAGUGAUCCAGAACGGACUUUUCUCCCAAGCGCCUUGAAACUGUAAGAUUUCCCAGGUGAGCCUGGUCCUCCACGUUCAUUGCUGAUAGGGGGAAGUCUGUAGGAAAAUUCUCCCUCAGCUGCUAGUGACUCAAAGUCUAAGGAUGUCAAAAGAGCUGGCCUCAUUUGUAGGAAGCACGAGGUCUCUUAGUCAUUUACGGUCACAGUUGGGAGAAAGGUCACAGAGUGCCGUUCUUUUGGGAGAGUGCUCUUCAACAGGCACCUGCAUCCCCCAGGCUUCUCUUUUCAGUUUGCCACUCCACAGCAAUCAUUUCUGGCUGGCGGUAUACCUGGGGAACCCAGCAGAAGCAAAUGCAAACCUGCUCUGGAAGAACAAAUCCACACCUUAGGCCACGUGGAAUUCCCACAGGGAAAAAUAAAUCUCCCUGAAGAAUUUAUAAUACAGAUGUAUAAAACACUAAAGGAAAAGAUCCUUUAUGAAUAAGAGUCAGUAGAUAAAAUAGGCAGAAUGAUUCACUCCCCCGCAACUCGAGACGACAGAACAGGUUUAAAAUAUUAUAAAUAUAUUAGGCUUUGGUGAGUUAAGGAAAUGAAAGAAAUAAGCACACAAGAAAAGAAACUAAAAGAAAAAAAGAACCAAAUAAAACAUAUAGAAAUGAAAAGAUAGUGAAACUAAAGACUCAAUGAACGUGUUAAACAGAAGAUUAGAUAGAACCAAAUAGGGAAUUGGUGAACUGAAAGAUAGAUUUGAAACAGCAACUAUACAAAAUUCAGCAUGGAUUAAGAGAAUAAGAGAAGAAAUAUGAAAAAAAUGGUUGAGGCAUAAAAAAAUGACAGAGUCAACAUGCAUACCAAUAUAGUAGGAGUUCUAAAAGGAGAAAACAGACUGGGGGAAAGGCAAGGUAAUAAAGAGGAAAAUUUUCCAGAAUUGGUAAAUAUUAUAACCCUUUAAAUUGAAGAUGAAAAAUGAGUUAAGAACUAGAAAUAAAUUCACCUCUAGGCACAUAAUAGUGAAAUUUCAAAAUAAAAAAACAAAGUGAAACUCUUAUUAGUUACCAGAUAAAUUCAGAUUAUUAAGGACAAAAAUGAGACCCAGAGACUUGUGAACAGCAAUAACAGAGGCAUUGGAAAAAUGACAGAGACACCUGAAAAAUGCCAAGCAAAAAUAAUUAUCAACCUAAAAUGUAUCAGCUAAUUUAUCAUUCAACCUUGAGCAUGAAAUAGACACAUUCAGACAAAGACUGAGAAAGUUCAUCUGUCACACACCCUUCCUGAAAAAUUUUCUAAAGGAAGAACUGCAAGAAUAAGGAGACAGAACCCAAGAGAAAGUAGUGGGUGUAUGCAGUAAUGAUUAGCAAAUAAACCAGUAAAUGAUAGGAAUGCAUUUUUAAAUAAGCAAACAAAAAUAUUUAUUUUAAAACACCAGUAACAACAAUAAUAAUGAGGGAAAAAUUUAAAUAUUAGACAACAAUGACAUGUAAGAUAGAGUGGUUGAUUGGAGUUAGAAUUUUUUAAAGUUUUUGUGUUGUUCAGAAG
rnacentral:lncRNA from 1 species